rnacentral:snRNA from 1 species
AUCGCUUCUCGGCUCUCUGAGCUAAGAUCAUGUGUAGUAUCUGUUCUUUGCAGUGUAAUUUCUNNNNNNNNNNUUUUUGGGCUACCGAUAUCCAUGCUGAAAAUUCCAUACUUGUACCAAAAAUACAGUGUGGAAUCAACGGGCUACCGAUAUCCAUGCUGAAAAUUCCACACUUGUACCAAAAAUACAGUGUGGAAUCAAGCUAU